rnacentral:misc_RNA from 1 species
AAGUCGUAACAAGGUUUCCGUAGGUGAACCUGCGGAAGGAUCAUUAAUCCAUCCAAACAGCGUAGCUGCGGCCUCCGGGUUAACCCCCGGAUGGUUCGCGCUACCUGUCUACAUCCUUUUUUUACGAGCACCUUUCGUUCUCCUUCGGCGGCUUACCCCGCCGUUGGAAUCAAACAAAACCUUUUUUGUAUCUAGCAUUACCUGUUCUGAUACAAACAAUCGUUACAACUUUCAACAAUGGAUCUCUUGGCUCUG